AAGUAUCUCUUGUUGAGUUAAAAUAAUUUCGUGUAAUAUUUUUCACACUUAUGAAGACGGUCAGUGAUUGGUCAGUGUGUGUAAUAAUAGAACCUGCUAUUGGCGGUAUUUUUGCACGAGAUACAGAACAACAAAGACGUGUCUGAUGUUGUGUCUAAAUGUAGGUGAUCAGUGUAUUACGUUGACCUUGACCUGUCGUGGUGGCCAUUUUUUUGGGCCGGAUAUUGCGUGCCUUGUUUAGGUUUGUGAACUUUGCGUAUUUGCAAUUGCUAUUUGUUCAUGUUGCUAAUUAUGCAUGUUUAUAAUACAUGUACUACAUAUGAAUCCUUGCAAAGGAAAUAUGUUUGUAUAUAUGAUUGAGGUCAAGCAAAUCUUGUACAUUGGUUAAGUCACUAGAACAAAUUAUAAUGUGUUUUUAUUUAUCUAUAUUUAUAGGAGCACUGUCAUUGAUUCAUUCAUUGAUUCAUCAUUGAUUGAUCACAUUACACUACAACUGUGAAUAAAAGG